UCCCUGGUGGUCCAGUAUCUAAGACUCUGUGCUCCCAAUGCAGGGGGCCCAGGUUCAAUCCCUAGUCAGAGAA
rnacentral:tRNA from 1 species